AUGAGGGCGAUUCUGGAAGCAGAAGUUACUAUGGAGGAAAUUAAAGCCGCCCUUGAUCACAUUUGGGAUUUUAAGGCCCCUGGGCCGGACGGUAUGCCCUCGGUGGUCUAUAAGAAGCAUUGGCACUUUAUGGGGGAGAAGGUUAUCGAGGAGGUCAUGGCUGUUCUUAAUGGUGGCGCCAUGCUAGAGGGAUGGAAUGACACAACUGUGGUCUUGAUUCCUAAAGUGAGAUGCCCUAGCAGGAUCAAAGAUCUUCGUCCGAUUAGUUUAUGCAAUGUGAUAUACAAAUUGGUCUCCAAGGUUAUUGCUAAUCGCCUCAAGAUCAUUGUCCCGAAGAUUAUUUCCUCCAACCAAAACGCUUUUGUCCCCGGGAGAAUGAUAACGGACAAUGUCUUAGUGGCGUAUGAGCUGUCACAUUACCUCCUGAAUAAGAAGAGAGCGAAGGAAGGAAUCGCAGCUGUGAUGGCGGAUACGAGUAAAGCAUACGACAGGGUUGAAUGGGAUUUCCUUAGAGCUAUGCUGACCAAGCUUGGUUUCGGGGCUAGGUGGAUCGACUUGGUCAUGUCAUGUGUCUCUUCUGUCCGCUACCAGAUUAAGGUGAACGGGGAGUUGACCGAACAGUUCUCACCUUCCCGGGGCUUACGGCAAGGAGACCCCGCUUCGCCCUAUCUUUUUGUCAUCUGUGCGUAG
rnacentral:rRNA from 1 species